rnacentral:tmRNA from 1 species
GGGCUUUUCAUUAUGUUUACAGCGCCUAUAUUGGCCCUGCCGCCGGUUCGCCGUCGGCUAUGGUGAUAAAUUGCGGCGUGCAAUAGAUGCAGCGGACCCGGGGGCAGUACCCGGCGACUCCACCACAACCGGCCCUUCGGGACCGGUCAUGACGGGGUCGAACCAGGAUCGACGUGUAUUGAAAAGCGCUGUUUUUGCCCGGGCUGAGUAACCUGCAAAAGGCUCAAAACCACAAGUGCUAACGACAACGAAGCACUCGCGAUUGCCGCGUAAACCGGACCUAACGGUCUAGUUUACUAAGGACGAAAGCGCGGUCCGGGCCGCACCGGGCAACAGAAGCGGACACC